rnacentral:rRNA from 1 species
CCAAUAGCGUAUAUUAAAGUUGUUGCAGUUAAAAAGCUCGUAGUUGAAUUUCGGGGUCAGUAGGUUGGUCGUGCCACUGGUAUGUACUGGCCUUACUGGUCCCUCCUUCUUGUAGAACCGUGAUGCCAUUAAUUAGGUGUUGCGGGGAAACAGGACUGUUACUUUGAAAAAAUUAGAGUGCUUAAAGCAGGCUCGCGCUUGAAUACAUUAGCAUGGAAUAACGGAAUAGGACGAUCGAACCUAUUUUGUUGGUUUCUAGGAUCGACGUAAUGAUUAAUAGGGAUAGUUGGGGGCAUUAGUAUUCAAUUGUCAGAGGUGAAAUUCUUGGAUUUAUUGAAGACUAACUACUGCGAAAGCAUUUGCCAAGGAUGUUUUCAUUAAUCAAGAACGAAAGUUAGGGGAUCGAAGACGAUCAGAUACCGUCGUAGUCUUAACCAUAAACUAUGCCGACUAGGGAUCGGAUGAAGUUAAUUUUUUAAUGACUCAUUCGGCGCCUUACG